ACAAAACCAGGUUAUCAUUGUGAAAAAAAAAUCUGAUAAAGAGAGAAAACUCAAACUGAACUUUAUAAAUGAACAAACAAAAUUAACCCCCUUUGUAAGUUUUUUUUUUUUUUAAUCUAUUUUUAGUCGUGGCGACCUUGACAUUGGAGAUAUCGACGUAAUUAUUUCGCGCGACACACCGUCCAAUGAUGGUGAACAAAUGUGCCAAAUUAUUUUAAAAUCUCACAAUGAAUGACAUAGUUAUGGCCAGGACAAGCUUGUUCCGCCAGCCCGCCAGCCAGCCCGCCAGCCAGCCAGCCAGCCAGCCCGCCCGCAUUCGCCAAUCUAAUAACCAGUUUUUUCCUUCGGAAAACCUGGUUAAAAAUACGAGAGGCAGCAAAGAAUGAACAGAAAGACAGCAUUUUGGCAGAAAGGCAACCGAUAUGCUUCUACACCGUGCAAUGACAUCGCUCGUUUCAAAAAAUGCUAAGGCAUAAUCUACCAGUGUAAUAUGCAAAGUGGUUUCAGGGCUGCUGAUUAUUUUACAAAUUUACGUGAAUCACUGACAUGACUGACAACCCGAUCCGUGGAAAUCCGCAGAUCCACGGAAAAAUCAAACGAACCCUUUCCAUGCCUGGAACUAAACUCUGUCAGUAACAAUUUCGCGCUCUUAUUAAAAACACAAGUUUUACAUGGCAUCAUGUAUAGUGAAUGGUGCAGGUGCGUACAAAGGGACUUAAAUAAUAUCAUCACGUGGCUGUAGAAAAAUUUUGUAAUUCAGUUCUAUAAAUGGACAUGACAAAAUAUACUUGUACUGAAAUUAAAUUGUUACCGCAUACAA